rnacentral:lncRNA from 1 species
AUCAUCAGGCAAGCAAUCAUUUCCUUCCAUUUCCCUGAAUAGUUCAUUUGCUUCAUCCAAUAACCCUUCAUGACAAUAUGCUUGGAUCAUCAUUGUGUAUGUUUUGACAUCAGGUCGCAAACCUUUCAAAGGAAGGUUGUCAAAAAGGCUUCUUGCAUUCUCUAGAUGUCCAUUUUUGCUCAGUCCAUCAAUCAGAAUAUUGUAAACAUGUAUAUCAGGAACUAACCCCCUCGAUUCCAGUAUUUGAAAAAAUGAUAGUGCUUCAACAACAUAACUAUUCUGGCAAAGACCAUGCAACAAGAUACUGCAUGUCACUUUAUCUAAUUCAACGCCUUGGUUAAUCAUCUUUUCCUUAAAAAAUUUACGUGCUUCAACAUGUCUGCCCACAUGAAAAAAACCUUGCAGUAUAGUACUGUAAGUCUCAAUAGUUGGGGCUAAACCUUUAGAGGGCAUCUGUUGAAAAAGAGCUAUUGCUCUGUCCACUUUCAGCUUUUUACAAUAACCGUUGAUCAGAAUAUUAUAGCUAAGAGCAUUAGGCAGUAUUCCCUUUCUCGCCAUGCUUUCGAACACUGCUAAAGCUUUAUCAACCUCUCCCCUCAAGCAGUAUCCAUCCAUUAGUGAAUUGUAAGUGACUACAUCAGGAUAAUGGCCUCUUUGAAUCAUCAACUCUAUCACAUCCUCUGCAUCUUUAAUCAUUCCUUCUUUGCCAUACGCAUCAACCAAUAUAUUGUAAGUAAAAACAUCUCGAGAAAUGUUCCUAACAUCCAUCUCCUUGAGCAAUUGUUUGACAUCAGGCCAUCGAUUAAUGUCACACAGACCUUGAAUUAAUGAGUUGUAGGUUAUAACAUUUGGAGAUAUGUCUUUCCUUGUCAUUUGGUGGAGAAGACCCAAUGCUUGAUCAACUAACCUAUAUUUACAUAAACAAUCAAUAAGUGUGGUGUAAGUUACGGUAUCAGGCUUGCAACCUUUCUUCUCCAUAUUUUUGAACAACUUAACAGCCACAGAAGGAUUCCCUCUCUUGCAGAUGCCGUCAAUGAUAGUUGUAUAGGUAACAACAUCGGGUUGAAAUCUGAUGAGGUUCUGGAACAAAAGCUGAGCCUCAUGAGGCAUAUUCGGGAAAUAAGGCCCCUGAUUAGAGUGUUAUAAGUAAACACGUCAGGGACAAAACCGUGCUUGAUGAUUGCAGCCAAUAAUGAAAAGGCAAAAUCGACACGAUUCAAGUGACAAAAGCAGUUGAUGAGAGUAUUAAAAGUAAAUAUAUCAACAGCGAUGCUUUCCACACGCAUCUUUCUAAAAAGGGAGACAGCUACGGAGUAGUGUUUCAUUUUAACAAGAGCAGCUAAUAGUUGAUUAAAGUCGAUAACAGUAGGCAGAGGCUUCAUAAGGAGCAUUUUAUCGAACACUUGGAGAGCAUCAUCGAGUUUAUCGAAACCAACCUUGGACUUCUCAAGGAGUAAAUAUUGAAGACGAGCAUGAGAUGGAUUAGAGGAAUAAGGGAAUUGGGGUUUGGGUUUCAAGGGAAUAUUAGGGUUAGGGUUAGUGGAGAAGUGAGAAACUGCAAUAACAGAAAAAAAGGAUGCAAGACAAUUAUGAGCUGAAGCUGCAGAAUUUGAUAUCACAAAUUUCUUCAUCAUCAUCAUCAUCAUCAUCAUAUCUCUACUUGUCAAACACUCAAAAAAUUAGCUGCAGAGCAUAGUAUCAUCAAUUAAGGCCCAGGAUUUUGAUUUACGCCCAGAACCCAAAUUUUUGUUACAAGGAAUGGUACUCCAUUUUAAUAACGGUUUUUGUAUGAUGGCACGUAGUGCUAAAAUCUACUAUCUCCCUCCCGCACCGAGGCUCCUGUGAGAUAUAGUUGUAUAAUUUUUUUCUAAAACUUUUUUUUAAUAAAAAUUUAAAUAUUAAAUUUUUAUUUUAAAAAAAAAAUUAAAAAUAUAUUACGGCACUAUACUUUAAAUGAGUGUGGAAAAGCGUGCUGAAAAAUAACGUAAAAAAUUGAGGGGAUAGAGGGAGGAUGAAUUUGGAAACUUUUGAUUGGCUUGCAACAAUCAUCCAAUCAAAAUUUUCUAAAUUUAUAAAUUUUAAUGCUUAGAAUGUGCCCUGGACAUACACUAGACAAACCCUUUAUAUAAAUAUAAAAAUUAAUAUAUAAUUUAUUUAUUUUUGAAAUUAUACCGUACCACGUGAUCAGUAUUCUCGCUUAGAACCUUGCCCCGAUAAAUAAAAUAGUAUGUGAUAUAAUAUGAUUAUAAUAUUCUUAACUCAUCGCCUUCUUCACAUGAGACUUACCUAAACAUUCCCCAGUAUCGAUGGAGAAAACAAAUUGAGAAAUCAAGAACCAUCACUUUCACAUAUUACAAGGUUGAAGGCGUGGGAGACGAGAGAUUGGUGCAAAUAUCUUCCUAAAAGCAUAACACUCAAAAUCUCAUUAAGUCACGAGAUCGAGUCUCAACUACUCUAAUACGCAAUCGCCAAUCAUUCUUAUCUAAUGUCAUUUUCCCGUGAGACUUAGGGCUCCCAAAUCCAAACUUAAUUGAUUAGACAACAUCCGACGGGGCUGACCUUUCUUUCUCUUGCCCUGAACUAAUAUGUGUUCAACUCUUCGAACCGGGGCUGAAUUACAUUUACGCCAGACAGGUCCAUACCAACAUAAACGCUCUCCCUAUUUUGUUAGAAAUAGACUCUAACACCUAAAAAGCGUCGAAAAAUAAUAUUCGACAUAUGAUUUUUCAGGGUGUUAUCACAAGUCCAACACAACAUGCGUAAUUCUGCUGUCUCUAGUCGAAUAUAGUAAUGACGAUAUUGUCACUCGAUAAAAUUUACCCUUCAACUUCAAAAGUACAUAUUUGAAAUUAUAAUAUACAUGUAUCUCAUUUUUUUUAAAAUUAUAAUUUAUCUCAUCUUUUUUACUUUUUAAUCAAUUUAUAACUUCUUCGUUAUAUUACACUCUCUCCAUUUUAGAAUAAUACUCGCCACGACCCUUUUUAGUUGUCAUGUUUGAAUGUUGACAAUUGAAAUUGACUAAAAUUUGAUUAAAAUUCAAUAAUAUUAUAUUAAUUAAUAAAAUAAAAAAAACAUGUCAACGAAAAUAACUUUUAAUCUACUUUAAUGUAUAACUUUUCGUUUUUUUAAAAUAAUAUAAGAGUUACUUAUAAUUUUUGAUGAAAAAUUAGUCAAUUUGACCAAUAAAAAUAAAAAUGUGAGAACUAAAAAAGGACGACGGGAGUAGUUUUAAGAACGAAGCAAAGUCAGUCUUCUAAUUUUAGCACCUCAUAACAUUUAAACUAUAUAUGAUGAUACUGUUCAAAUUGGAACCAAUAUUAAAACGGUUUUUCUAUGGUGUGCCCAUGGGCACACAAUAAGCACAAAAUUUGAUAGUUUUUCCUUGUUUUGAUUGGCUUACACCCCUUUAAUAAUGAUGGCCCCCCUGCAUUCACACCAACCACACCAAUCAAAAUACAUCAAAUUUAUGAGUUUCCGAGCUUAACAUGUGCCCUUGGACACACCAGACAAGCCCAUAUUAAAAUUAAAACUUAGGAAAACACACAGAACUUGGGAACACACAUGCUUUGAUUGAAAUUUAUACGUAUUAUAUAACUAAAUAAUAAUAAUAAUAAUUGGGUUGAUAAAUUGGCAUGAGCAAUGUUGAUUUCAAUAUAUACUAAAUGUUUUUACUAUAGAAGUAACUGAGUGAACUAGGACACAUUGUUGUACCCAAGUUAGUCAUUGUCUCCAGCUCCGUUGAACCCUUCUGCAUCUCCACCACCCCAAUCUUGAUCCCAAGUUAGUCAUCGUCUCCAGCUCCGUCGAACCCUUCUGCAUCUCCGCCACCCCAAUCUUGAACAUUUGCUGGUCCAUCAUCGACAUUAACAUCUAUAGCCACGUCGAAACCAAUAUCAUCAAUAGGGACUUCUUGCAGUUCUGGCACGGUCUUCUUAAUCUCCAUAGAUGCAAUGUUUGCGUCACUGAAAAAAUCAGCAUACGGCUUCGAAACCUGAACAGAGAUAUAAUAUUUAAAAAAUUCUUAAUUAUAUACGCUGCAUUGCUGUAGCAAACAAUAAUCUUGAGAUAACAUAUUUGUAUAUAGGCCAUGCCAAUUGCCACAUCUUAAUAAAACUGCAACUGGAAAUUCAUUCUCCAUUCUUGUCUUCUAGCCAAAUAAGGAAAAAUUUAAAUGUUCAUUAAAAUUUUUAUAAUUCAAAGCAGUAGAUGUAGAUGUAGUAGAAGAGGAUAUCGAAACUUUGUUCUGAGUGAUGGUAAGGGAGAUUCAAAGCAAAUUUAGUAUAAAAAGAUUUAACCACCUUACAAAGAGCAUUCCUCUUUUCUGCACUCUCGAUGAGAUUCUUCCGGUGCUCGUCUUUUCUCAAAGUUGAAGCAGAACCCACAACCUGAAUAAACAAAGAGGCAGCUUCUGUUAUAUAAGCAAAGCAAUGAUUGUACUGUACACAGUUCUGAAAAAAAUCAAAAAAAAGCGCUUCAAAUUUAUUACCCAAACAGAAGACCUUGCUCUGGUAAUUCUGACAUUCAUUCUCCCAGAAUCAGCAACAAAUCCGAUGCCUUUAUCUUUGCUUGCCCUGACACAUGAAAAUAUAGCAACAUCUUUUUCUCUUCCCUGCAUUAGGAACAUGAUACAUUUAACAAAAUUUACAACUUUUAGAACGAGGAAAACAAGUAAUGCGCAAGAUGCAUCCGGUGAUUAUAAAUUCAAAUAAAAUCUCAAGACGAAUAUAGAGCCGUAUUAAUCUCAACCAAUGAAUAGUAAAUUUUUAUUUCGAAGAGAAUAAAUUUGUUAGCAAAUCAAAGAACCAUAAAGUGAAAAAUUGCCUAAACAUGAAGCGGAAAGAAAUUUUUUACUUUUACCUGGAAUCCAUCCAGUGUUGAUGUCUACAAAUUUCUUUGAAUCUUCACCAAAGGUAUCCUUGAACUUAUCACGGAAGAGGCUUACUUGAGAUCUAUAGGGAGAUAUUAUAGCAAUUUGAGAGCUCGACUUGAGCUCUACAAAUCUAGCUAAUAACUUGUGAUACAUUAGCACAACAAACUCAGCCUCGUCAACAUUUACCCAAGAGCCACUAUUUGAAGGCUGGGACUCUUUUCGCUCAUGUAAAUCAAAAAAACAGAAAGGACCAAAGCAGCUGUAUAUGUGCCAUGCACGUCUAGUUUCACUUUCAACAGCAGGACCAUCCUCCAAGGCCUCCUUGUAGAAUUCUUUAGAAGGAAAGCUUCUUAUCUGCAAGCAGAUACACUUGUGUACAGUAAUAUUAUACAGAUGAUAUAAGAUAUCACCAGCCCUUUGUUAUAUAAUAAAAUAAUAUACACUUAUAGAAUUGGCAGUACUUGGGGCAGCUAUAUGUUGCAGCUCUGAGACAACCGACAAGUCAAACAAAGAUAUAAAGAUACAAGUCUUCAUGGUAGUUUGGUCCUUAACAUCUGUACCGGAUACCCCGCUUCUUGAAAUCUCUUAAACAAGCUCAUCCCGUACCUAUUCAAUAUUGUUAGGGAAAAAAUUAUGCAACAUAAUUACAUAAGAUGAAGAUGAUGAUUGAUAAACCGCCAUGUUUAAAACUAGUUUAUACACUACUUUGAACAUAUAUGCAUUCCUUACUUAUAUUUCUCGGCAACAGGAGAAAUCACAGUGGCUGGAGGUUGAAGAGGAUCACCAACCUAAAUAGAUUAGAAAUGAUGUCUGAGAAAGUAAUCUCAAAACAGAAGUGGUAAAAUUUAUCAGCUAGCAAAUUGAUAUAACCAAAUUGGCAUAAUAUAAACCUUUUAUUUUCACUUCCUAGUUGCCAAAAGAUUAUGACAAAGUGUUUAUAAAUACUAUUUUAUGUUUUAUGAUAUCUCAUAAUAUACAGCACCAAAAAAUCUUUUCCAGAGCCUCCCAUCAAUCAUCACGUGGAGUAUGCAAUGUGUUCAAAAUUUUCUUUGAAUUUAAAGUAACUGCUCGAAAUGAAAUUUUGCAAAUAGGGAUUUGUUCUUACUAUAUUCCAUCCUGUUUUAAUUGUCCCUUUUGAAAGCAAAAUUUGAUCUAAAUUAGUUGUCCCUUCUCUUCUUUCAAUGUGCAUUUAUCAACAAUCUUCCAAAACUACUCAUUCUUAUCUGUCAUUUUCAACUGUAGCAUCCUAAUACUAUCGUAAGUUGAUGUAAUAAAUGUGGGUAGAUAUGGGGAAACAGUACAACUUUUUAAACCUCUUAAUAUGUGUGAAAUCUUCAAAAGGGACAUUUAAUUUGGGAUGCAGUAAUACAUUACGUUUGUGAAGCCAGUAAACACGCAUUGCAUAUAUUCAGUGUUCUAAAAGUCAAUGAUCAAUCCCUAGAUGGUAGCUCACCGUCUCGAUUAAGCAUAUAUCAGGUCAAAAAUCAUUUUUCAUGAAAUCGGUCAAAAAUCGUCCAGUUGAUUAAAAUUAGUAAACUUCAUGAGAAAACAUUUAAAAUUUAAAUAAUAAUAAAAAAGGUAGAAACUUGGACAAAAUAGUAAGAGAAGUAUUAUUUCCGUAUGUAUUAUUCAUAUUUAGAUGGUAAAAUUAUUUAUUCUAAUGUAUUAAUAAAUAUUAAGAUUAUCUCUAACUAAGAUAACAAAAUAAUUAUAAGUAUAGUAAUCAUAUAAUAACUAAUAUAAUCCUUCACUGAUUAAGUCCGAUUCCACUUUUUACCACGCUGCAUAUAUGAAUUAACUAGCCAAUACUGUAAAAUAGUUGGAGAGAAAAUUCCAUAUUACUAGCAUGUUUUAUGUACCAGGAAUACUUGCUUGCAUCCAUUAGCCAGUGGAACAAGAGUGUUGCUGCUUCUAUCUAUUCAUGACAAAAAUUCAAAAUCAGAUGAAGAUCUAAAAUAGAUUAGAGCAGGUUCCUAAUAGUGUAUCUCUGAGCUUUUCUGAAAACAGACCUAGCAUAAAAGUAUCCUAACCUAAAUUUAGAUGUACUGAGUAUACAUUCUCACAUACUCAAGUAAAUAUCUAUAAUCUUCCACAGAUAUACUACAAUGUGUUCCACUAGAUGCUCAAGGGAACUUAGAUAUAACAUAUAAGAUAUAUUUGCCAAGUUUUAGUGAAGACCUGAUGUCCCCAAAAGGUGGUAAAAAGAGAAAAAAUUAAGGGAAUAACUAGUGGCGGACCCAUGAAUUGUAUUAAGGGGGCUAAGUUUUACUUUUAAAAAAUCACGAAUGAGAAAAAAUCAUUUCAAUACAUUAACAUUAAUAUCAUUCGAAAUCAUUACAUAUAAUAUAAAUACAAUUCUUACAAUGACAUUCUACUAGGUGCCAUAUUUUGAAAUCUCAUUAUAAUGUCUUUGACAUCAAUUGAAAUUUUUUUUGGGGGGGGGCUAAAAUUUAUUUUCACAAUUUUCUGUAUGCAUAUAAAAAAAAAUCCUUUUUUUUAAAGUUCAGGGGGCUCCAGGUCCCCCCCCCUCCCAAACUCCCACCCCCCGCGCGCCCGCCCCUUACAAGGUCCUCCCAUUGGAAUAACAAUACAACAAUAAUUCUAGUAUAAAAAUUGACAACAUGUGGAAGCAGUAACUUAUUAGCUACUUUGUUGUAACUAGCAAUAUUUGCUUAUAUGAAUGAUUCAAGUUGAUACUUGAAUGACUGGAGAAAAUAAUGAUACUUGCUGGUAUAAAUAAAAUUACAUGUUAUUCAAGUAAAUAUCACUAUUCGUAACUUAAACGUUUAUCAACAGAAUAAAGCACAAUUUGCUGUUACAACAUUCGACUGGGUACUAACCACUUUGAAUAUAUAACUGCUAAGAAAAUUAAUCCAUAUAUUAAGGCAAAGGUCAAGCAAACGUACCGCUUGGGCAGCUUCAUCUUUUAUAACAACAUCAAAAGUGCAAUUCAGUUUACUGAAAAGAGAUGAACCACUGAAACUGAGUGUAGAGAAUACCUGCAACAAGUUCAGGAAUCAGCAAAGCUUUCAAAGUUUAAUUUUAAAAAGAAGACUAGAAUAACAUACAAUCGCUGCUUCAUCUAAAAUUGAAUUACGGAUGGCAUUUUUAUCCCUUCCAGCACUUCCAUGCUUCUGUUUUUCACCAGUCUGGAAAUCCACGCCAGCAAUUUUUUGUUCCACCUAAAAAUUAGGACAUAAUGGAGCCUGUCUAAACGAAGGUACACAAAUUUUCAGAAAGUUUGCCAAUGUGUUUGUCUUGCCAGGUACUUGCAAGAUGAUCCAUAGAUACGGGAGCAAAAGAGUGAUGGACGUUGAGACCUAUUCGUACAAUUUAAGGGGUGUAUAAACGAUCACUUUCAUCAUGAAUACCCAAGAACAGCAAAAAAUGACGUAUAUUAGUUGGACACACAAACAAUUCUAUCACAAGGAAAAAGAUGUUACUUAUAGAAAUCUUCAGAACUGACAUAUUUAAGAUGGAAGGAUAAGAAACGUGGCAUGUUACAUUCAUAUGCCGGUAUUUUCUUGGAGAAAAGUUGGCUAGUUUUGCCUUUUCGUGUAAUAUCAAUUUGUGAGACUAGGUCAGAAACUGCAGCUAGAGUGCCCAUUUGGAAGUCACUCAUAGUACGAAACGCCUCCCAUUUAUCAGCUUCCAGGAUAACAGAGCAUAUAUCCUUUGAUUAUGGCACGACCCAGCGGGGCAUAAAUUGCCCAGAGUUGGUUCACCAAUCGCGUAAGGAAGGGGAUAGUCCCCACCAUCACAUGCCUGAAAGAGUCGUUUGAACCACGGAAGACUGCGCCAAUGCCUCAAGUGUUACCAAUUUCAGAAGGAACGAGAGAAUGUGUUCCAUGAACGUUUACUUUCAGAGUGCCUGGGUUGGGCGGAAUCCAGUGAUAUGCCAUGUUUGCGCUGUUGAAAAAGAAAGUAGAGCCCCGAAUUUUUAUGGCUGCAUACUUGCAAAAUUUGGAGAAGAUUUGUACUACUUAACGUUUGUAAGUAAAUGCUCGACUGAAGCUUGAGAAGAACCACCUGAGUUCAUCAUUGCUAAUACAGUUGACUUACACAUGGAACUCAGCAUGUAUUAGCAAGUGAAGAUACGGAAUCAAUGUAGGGAGUUCCAUGCAAGUUAAUAUACUUUGAUAAUUCUAUAUGAAGCAGUCUAGUAAUGACAACAAAAGUAGCCCUCUCUUGCAGGUCCAUGAUGAAAGCCAAUUAAAAGAAUUUUGCCAAGCAUAACUUCAUGUUUUCUGCCGACCACAAAGCAUGACCUACUAAAUUAAUGUUUUUGACGUAGUAAAGCAGCAUCUCAACUAGAGAAGCGUGAAGUACAGAGAAAGGCAAGGCCCUCUCUUUCCUUGUCACACCUAUGGAAAGUACUUCUCACGCAAGGCAAGGAGAGCAGCAUCCGGUUCAUGCACUUCAAUUAAGUACAGUAACGCAGAUGCCAUAGAUGCAUCUGCUGCAAACCGAUGACCAAGCAUUUCAUCUAGGUACACCUGCUUCAUAGUAAUUCUUAUUCUGUAAACAACCGCAGAAAAGCAUGUUCAAUGUGACAUCAUUAGGCAAGCAAUCUUUGGCUUCCGUAUAGUUCACUCGCUUCAUCCAAUAACCCUUCAUGACAAUAUGCUUGGAUCAUCACUGUGUAUGUCUUGACAUCAGAUGGCACACAUUUCACAGGAAAGUUGUUAAAAAUGCUUCUUGCGUUCUCCAGAUGUCCAUUUUUGCUUAGUCCAUCAAUCAGAACAGUGUAAACCUGUAUAUCAGGAAUCAGAAGUUAGUUAAGCUUAUUGUGAUACUUGUUUAUGGCUACAUAUUGAAGUUUUAGCGCUCAAUGUCCGGGCAAACAUGUUUGCUUGUUUGGGAACAGGAUUAGGUUUCUGUUAUCUAUUUAAAUCAGGCAAGUGGUUUUUAGUAGUACUAAUAAAUUAGUCUGAUGCAAGUCUGGAUAACAACAUUUCAAGUACUUUAACUGAGAAACAGCUCAAUGUAGUAGUGUACAGAGGGGAACAAGGCUAGUGAACAAACAGCUGGCAGAGUGCUUAUAGACUUGCCUUGAUUAGAAGACUUUAGUUUAACUAUUAGCACUUGCAAUUUCUUAACAUUUAGGCAAUGCUUAUCAGCUUCUUCACGAGAACUUAAAACACAGAAACACAAAUAUUUAAGAUGGAAGGAUAAGAAACUUGGUAUGUUAGAUUCAUGUGCCGGUAUUUUCUUGGAGAAAAGUUGGCUUGUUUUGCCUUUUCGUGUACUAUGCAUCCAUCAGAAUUUACAUGUAUAAAUAACAGGGCUAGCAGUUGAACAAAAAUUCAUACAGGAACCAUUUAAUUGAAUAUCAUCAUAACAGGAAAUAAAGGUCUUAUAUGGAGAUUUUAACUGAACAACAGAAGUGCAUCAUCGAGCUAUUAAAAUCCAAAUUAGAAUCAUAUGAAGCAACUAUUGCAAGAAUUUCUUACGCAAAGCAAGAAGAGCCGUGGAUAAGUGUUUUGUAGGUAGCAUCACUAGGCAAGCAAUUACUAGCUUGCAUUUUCACAAAAGUUUAUUAACUUCAUCCAGUAGCUCCCCUUGACAAAAUGUGUAAAUCUUGACAUUAGGUCUUAAGCGAACGAAGGCUGUUAAAAAGACUUUUUGCCUUUUCAAAAUGUCCGUCUUUGCUUCCACACGUCUGCCUGUAAGAAAAUAACAUUCCAAUAUAGUACGGUAACUCUCAAUAGUUGCUUUUACACCUUCAAAAAUGCUGGCAAAAUCGAAAAGAGUAUGUACCUUAAAAAAUGCUGGCAAAAUCGAAAAGAUUAUGCUGGAAAUAUCUAGCAUAAAUAAAUGAAAGUAAUAAAUUUUUAAAUAAUUAAUGAUUUGAAUCAUUUAUUUUUAAACAAAAAAUGAUCGAUCAAUUUCUAACCUUAACAAUGUAUAAGAAAAUAAUAUCAUUAUAAAAUCAAUAUCUACCACUUAAAAUUGAAUAAAAAAUAUUUUAAUGCUAUAUUUUUACAUAAUCUUCACAUUCGUAUCAUCGGAUCAUUUAUAAGCCGCACUAAAAAAAAAAAUCUACAGUAGCGUUUAGAAACUCUAUGUUCAUAUUACAAUCAGUAAAAAAAUAACUAAUAAAAUGACAACUAUUAAUCAUAAAUACAAUAAAAUAGAUUGUUUAAGCUAGGUAGACAGCAUAACUCAGUCCUCGUAUUUCCCACGAACUCUAAACACCUGGGAAUUAUAAGGGUGCUAUAUAGCAAGGUCCAAGGAACACCUUUUAUAAAGAUUCAUAUACAAUGGAGACCAUAGAGGGUAAUGGUACAUGCUGGGUUUGAACAAGAAGAGUUGGGAUUUAAAGAUAAUGUCAAAAGAUAAGAAUUUUAUUUGGAGGGUGGUCACAAGAUUUAUUCCUAUGACGAUGAAGUUGGUUAAAAAAAAGUACUGAUUCAAAAUAGUGCUUGUAUGUAGGAAAGAUAGUGAGACAAUAUUUCACUUAUUGGUUUCAUGUUUUCUUAUUCAUGUUUGCCGGAGAAAGAUGAAGGUAAUAAAUUUGAGGAAAGAUAAAGUUAAUAAAUUUGAGAAAUAAUGCCAAAUUUGGUUGUUGACUCUCAAAUUUGUAUGACAAAGUCGUAAGAAAAUGAGUAUAUUAGUAGAUAAGCAAUUAUUGGUAGAUAAUAUUGAUGCAUUAGUAUUUCUUCAUUUACACAUUUGAGCCUGUUGAUAAGUUAAGUCUCAAAAUGAUACUAAAAAGAUGAAUUCUCAACCUGAAGCACGAUGUGAUUAUAGUUUUGUAACACGAUCGAGAUCGCGUGGUUACUUUAUGAAGGCUCGGAUUCAUAAUUUUACUUAAAAUAUUUAAAUAAUGAAAACGUAGAUAUUAAAAAAUAUAUUUUAGUGCUCAAUCUCCCGGAGAACAUGUUUGCUUGUUUGGGAGCAGGAUUAGGUUUCUGUUAUCUAUUUGAAUCACGCAAGUGGUUUUUAGUAGUACUGAGAAAUUAUUCUGUUGCAAGUCCGGAUAACAACAUUGCAAAUACUUUAACUGUGAAACAGCUCAAUGUAGUAUUGUACAGAGCGGCACAAGGCUAGUGAACAAAUAGCUGGCAGAGUGCUCAUAGACUUGCCUUGAUUAGAAGACCUUAGUUUAACUAUUAGCACUUGCAAAUUCUUAACAUAUAGGCAAUGUUUAUCGGCUUCUUCACAUCUCUGCUUGAGAAGUUAGAACACAGAAACACACAUAUUUAAGAUGGAAGGAUAAGAAACGUUGUAUGAUAGAUUCAUAUACCGGUAUAUUCUUGGAGAAAAAGUUGGCUAGUUUUGCCUUUUCAUGUAAUAUGCAUCCGUCAGAAUCAGGGACGGAACCAGGAUUUCGGAUUGGGGUGGGCUUGACAAAUCACAAACCCCCUGUUGCGGUGCAAGAAUGAAGAAGCGACCAGUUUUUAAGUCUCUAACUCUUUUCUGCAGUCAAGAUUCUCUAAUCUAUGCUCUUUAUGCUCUCUGUAUCUUUGAUAUUAGACUUAUAGUUAUGGGCUGGACCUAUUUAUGAAUGGGCUUGGGCUAACAUAAUACAUAAUAUACAUAACUACUAUUUAUUUUUUUUUAAAUUAACCCUGGGCUUGAGCCCAGGGGAGCCCCCUCAUACUUCCGUCUCUGGUCAGAAUUUACAUGUAUAAACAACAGGGCUAGCAGUCGAACAAAAAUUCAAACAGGAACCAUUUGAUUGAAUAUCAUAACAAGAAAUAGAGGUCUUAUUUCGAGAUUUUAACUGAACAAUAGUAGCGGAUUAUCAAGCUAUUAAAAUCCAGAUUAGAAUUAUAUGAAGCAAGUAAGCAACUAAUGCCAGAAUUUCUUACACAAAGCAGGAAGAGCAGGAACCUGUUUUUCAAUUCAAGUAAUCCCAGGGCCAAGGACAUUAAAAUGCAUCUGCGGAGCCUUGAGCACACAUUGCUUCUACAAGUACAAUUGCUUCACCGUACUUAUUGUGAAAACAGCCGUGGACAACUGUGUUGUAGGUAGCAUUAGGCAAGCAAAUACUAGCUUCCAUUUUCACAAAAAGUUUAUUAGCUUCAUCCAGUAACCCCCCUUGACAAAAUGUCCAUCUUUGCUUCCACACAUUUGCCUGUAAGAAAAUAACUUUGUAAUAUAGUACUGUAAGUCUCAAUAGUUGCUUUUAAACCGUCAAAAUUGCUGGCAAAAUCGAAAAGAUUAUGUACCUGAGAACUCUCUCCUUCGCUACACCUACGGCGAGUACUUCUUGCACAAAGCAAGGAGAGCAGGAUCCUGUUCUUGCACAUCAAGUAAAUCCAGUAAAACAGAUGCAGUAGAUGCAUCUGCUGCAAAGCCGCGACCAAACAUUUCAUCCAUGAGUACACCUGCUUCAUAGUAAUUCUUAUUAUGUAAACAACCGCGGAUAAACAUGUUGUAUGUGACAUCAUUAGGCAAGCAAUCAUGAGCUUCCAUUUCCCUGAAUAGUUCAUUUGCUUCAUCCAAUAACCCUUCAUGACAAUAUGCUUGGAUCAUCACUGUGUAUGUCUUGACAUUAGGUCGCAAACCUUUCGCAGGAAGGUUGUCAAAAAGGCUUCUUGCAUUCUCGAGAUGUCCAUUUUUGCUUAGUCCAUCAAUCAGAAUAGUGUAAACCUGUAUAUCAGCAACUAACCCACUGGACUCUAGUAUUUGAAAAAACGAUAGUGCUUCAAAUACAUAACAAUUCUGGCAAAGACCAUGCAACAAGAUACGACAUGUCACUUUAUUUAACUCAACACCUUGGUUAAUCAUCUUUUCCUUAAAAAAUUCACGUGCUUCAACAUGCCUGCCCACAUGAAAAAAACCUUGCAGUAUAGUACUGUAAGUCUGAAUAGUUGGGGUUAAACCUUCAGAGGGCAUUUGUUGGAAAAGAUCUAUGGCUCUGUCCACUUUCUUCUUUCUACAGUACCCGUUGAUCAGAAUAUUAUAGCAAAGAGCAUUAGGCAGUAUUCCCUUUCUCGCCAUGCUUUCGAACACUGCUAAAGCUUUAUCAACCUCUCCCCUCAAGCAGUAUCCAUCCAUUAGUGAGCUGUAAGUGACUACAUCAGGAUAAUGGCCUCUUUGAAUCAUCAACUCUAUCACAUCCUCUGCAUCUUCAAUCAUUCCUUCCUUGCAAUACGCAUCAACCAAUAUAUUGUAAGUAAAAACAUCUCGAGAAAUGUUCCUAACAUCCAUCUCCUUGAGCAAUUGUUUGACAUCAUGCCAUCGAUUAAUGUCACACAGACCUUGAACUAAGGAGUUGUAGGUUAUGACAUUUGGAGAUAUGCCUUUCCUUGUCAUUUGGUGGAGAAGACCCAAUGCUUGAUCAACUAACCUAUAUUUACAUAAACAAUCAAUAAGUGUGGUGUAAGUUACGGUAUCAGGCUUGCAACCUUUCUUCUCCAUAAUUUUGAACAACUUAACAGCCACAGAAGGAUUCCCUCUCUUGCAAAUGCCGUCAAUGAUAAUUGUAUAGGUAACAACAUCGGGUUGAAUAAGUUGAAAUCUGAUGAGGUUCUGGAACAAAAGCUGAGCCUCUUGAAGCAUAUCUUGGGAAAUAAGGCCCCUGAUGAGAGUGGUAUAAGUCACCACACUUGGCACAAAACCGUGCUUGAUGAUUCCAGCCAAUAGUGAAAAGGCAAAAUCGACACGAUUCAAGUGACAGAAACAGUUAAUGGCAGUAGUGAAGGUAUAUAUAUUAAGGGGGAUGCUUCGAACACGCAUAUCCCUAAAGAGAGACACAGCUACAGAGUACUCUUUCAUUUUAACGAGGGCGGCUAGCAGUUGAUUAAAUUUAAGAACAGGAAGCAUAGGCUUCAUAAGGAGCAUUUUAUCAAACACUUGGAGAGCAUCAUCGAGUUUAUCGAAACCAACCUUUGAUUUCUCAUAAAGUAAUUGCUGAAGUCUCGCAUGAGAUGUAUUGGAAAAAUGAGGAACAUAGGGGUGUUUGGGGUUAGGUUUAGUGGAGAACAUAAGAAAAUGAGCAUCGAAUUGAAACAAUGCGAGACCACAAGUAGUAGCUGCAGACUCAGCUGCAGAUCGUAGAAAUGGUAGCACUGGUGUUAAUGAAGCGAGACUCCUCAUCGCUGCUUAUAUAAUCAGUUACUGAAUGCUACUUCUUGCCGGUGCUCUCACUUCACUGGGUUCACUUGCCCAGAACACAAAAUAUGACGGAACAAUGGGAUGUACUGUGUACUCAAGUUACAAAUUAUAUCUCAUAUAGUAUAAUUUUACGUGUUAAAUUUAUAUAAAUAUAAAAAUUAAUAUAUAAUUUUUUAUUUGAAAUUAUACCAUACCACACUUGUCCAUUUUUGCUUAGUCCAUCAAUCAGAAUAGUGUAAACCUGUAUAUCAGCAACUAACCCACUGGACUCUAGUAUUUGAAAAAACGAUAGUGCUUCAAAUACAUAACAAUUCUGGCAAAGACCAUGCAACAAGAUACGACAUGUCACUUUAUUUAACUCAACACCUUGGUUAAUCAUCUUUUCCUUAAAAAAUUCACGUGCUUCAACAUGCCUGCCCACAUGAAAAAAACCUUGCAGUAUAGUACUGUAAGUCUGAAUAGUUGGGGUUAAACCUUCAGAGGGCAUUUGUUGGAAAAGAUCUAUGGCUCUGUCCACUUUCUUCUUUCUACAGUACCCGUUGAUCAGAAUAUUAUAGCAAAGAGCAUUAGGCAGUAUUCCCUUUCUCGCCAUGCUUUCGAACACUGCUAAAGCUUUAUCAACCUCUCCCCUCAAGCAGUAUCCAUCCAUUAGUGAGCUGUAAGUGACUACAUCAGGAUAAUGGCCUCUUUGAAUCAUCAACUCUAUCACAUCCUCUGCAUCUUCAAUCAUUCCUUCCUUGCAAUACGCAUCAACCAAUAUAUUGUAAGUAAAAACAUCUCGAGAAAUGUUCCUAACAUCCAUCUCCUUGAGCAAUUGUUUGACAUCAUGCCAUCGAUUAAUGUCACACAGACCUUGAACUAAGGAGUUGUAGGUUAUGACAUUUGGAGAUAUGCCUUUCCUUGUCAUUUGGUGGAGAAGACCCAAUGCUUGAUCAACUAACCUAUAUUUACAUAAACAAUCAAUAAGUGUGGUGUAAGUUACGGUAUCAGGCUUGCAACCUUUCUUCUCCAUAAUUUUGAACAACUUAACAGCCACAGAAGGAUUCCCUCUCUUGCAAAUGCCGUCAAUGAUAAUUGUAUAGGUAACAACAUCGGGUUGAAUAAGUUGAAAUCUGAUGAGGUUCUGGAACAAAAGCUGAGCCUCUUGAAGCAUAUCUUGGGAAAUAAGGCCCCUGAUGAGAGUGGUAUAAGUCACCACACUUGGCACAAAACCGUGCUUGAUGAUUCCAGCCAAUAGUGAAAAGGCAAAAUCGACACGAUUCAAGUGACAGAAACAGUUAAUGGCAGUAGUGAAGGUAUAUAUAUUAAGGGGGAUGCUUCGAACACGCAUAUCCCUAAAGAGAGACACAGCUACAGAGUACUCUUUCAUUUUAACGAGGGCGGCUAGCAGUUGAUUAAAUUUAAGAACAGGAAGCAUAGGCUUCAUAAGGAGCAUUUUAUCAAACACUUGGAGAGCAUCAUCGAGUUUAUCGAAACCAACCUUGGAUUUCUCAUACAGUAAUUGCUGAAGUCUCGCAUGAGAUGUAUUGGAAAAAUGAGGAACAUAGGGGUGUUUGGGGUUAGGUUUAGUGGAGAACAUAAGAAAAUGAGCAUCGAAUUGAAACAAUGCGAGACCACAAGUAGUAGCUGCAGACUCAGCUGCAGAUCGUAGAAAUGGUAGCACUGGUGUUAAUGAAGCGAGACUCCUCAUCGCUGCUUAUAUAAUCAGUUACUGAAUGCUACUUCUUGCCGGUGCUCUCACUUCACUGGGUUCACUUGCCCAGAACACAAAAUAUGACGGAACAAUGGGAUGUACUGUGUACUCAAGUUACAAAUUAUAUCUCAUAUAGUAUAAUUUUACGUGUUAAAUUUAUAUAAAUAUAAAAAUUAAUAUAUAAUUUUUUAUUUGAAAUUAUACCAUACCACACGUAAAAAAUAUUUUGAGAUCUAAGAACGAUCACUUUCACAGAUUGCAAGGUUGAGCAUAAAAGGUGUCGAAAACAUAAAAGAUGUCGAAAAGUAAAAUUCGGUAUAUAAUAUGUCAUGUCUUACCACAAAUCCAACACAACAUGCGCAAUUCUGCUGUCUCUGGUCGACGCUCGAUGCUUUUGAGUUUUUUAAAAUGACCGACACUCAGAACCAUAUAAUAAUGACGAUAUGAUUGUCACUCGAUAAAAUUUAUCUUUCAACUACAAAGGUACAUUUUUUAAAUCAUCAUAUAUAUGUAUCUCAAUUUUUUUGAAAUUAUAAUUUAUUUCAUUUUUUUCUUUUUAAUGAAUUUAUAACUUUUUUACUAACAUUAUAUUUUCUCCGUUUUAGUAUAAUACUCCCCGUGACGCUUUUUUAGUUGUCAUGUUUGAAUUUUGACAAGUCAAAUUGAUCAAAAUUUGACUAAAUUUAUUAAUAUUUUAUUAAUUAAUAAAAUAAUAAAUAUGUCACCGAAAAUAACUAUUUUUUUCACAACCAAAAUAACUUUCAAUCUACUCUGAUAUGUAAUUUUCCAGUAUUUUAAAAUAAUAUAAGAGGUACUUAUAAUUUUUGAUCAAAAAUUAGUAAAUUUGAUUAAUAAAAUAAAAAUGUGACAAUUAAAAAGAAACGGAAGGAGUAGUUUUAAGAAUAGAGCAAUAUCGGUCUUCUAAUUAAUAUUUUAAAAUUUUAGGUGCAUAAUUAAAUUUAGCUGGGUGGAAACUGAACCUGUGAAAGGCUACCUUAGCUAUUCUCGCAGCUCAUAACAUUUAAACUAUAUGUUGAUACAUAGGGUACGGUUCAAAUUAGAACCGAUAUUAAUAUUAAAAUUAGAACUAAGGUAUACACGCGGAACUUAGGAACACACAUGCUUUGAUUGAAAUUUAUACGUAUUAUAUAACUAAAUAAUAAAAAUAAUUGGGUUGAUAAAUUUGCAUGAGCAUUGUUGAUUUUAUAAUAUACAAAAUGUUUUUACUAUAGCAGCAACAGAGUGAACCAGGACACAUUGCUAUACCCAAGUUAGUCAUCAUCUCCCGCUCCGUCGAACACUUCUGCAUCUCCACCACCCCAAUCUUGAUCCCAAGUUAGUCAUCAUCUCCAGCUCCGUCAAACCCUUCUGCAUCUCCCCCACCCCAAUCUUGAACAUCUGCUGGUCCAUCAUCGACAUUAACAUCUAUAGCCAUGUCGAAACCAAUAUCAUCAUUAGGGACUUCCUGCAGUUCUGGCACGGUCUUCUUAAUCUCCAUAGAUGCAAUGUUUGCGUCACUGAAAAAAUCAGCAUACGGCUUCGAAACCUGAACAGAGAUAUAAAAUUUAAAAAAUUCUUAAUUAUAUACGCUCCAUUGCUGCAGCAACAAUAAUCUUCGGAUAACAUAUUUGUAUAUACGCCAUAGCAAUUGACACAUCUUAAUAAAACUGUAACUGGAAAUUUCAUUCUCCAUUCUUGUCUUCUAGCCAAAUAAGGAAAAAUUUAAAUGUUCACUUGAAUUUUUAAAAUUCAAAUCAGUUGAUGUAGAUGUAGUAGAAGAGGAUAUCGAAACUUUGUUUCUGAGUGAUGGCAAAGGAGAUGCAAAGCAAAUUUAGUCUAAAAAGAUUUAACCACCUUAUAAAGAGCAUUCCUCUUUUCUGCACUCUUGAUGAGAUUUUUCCAGUGCUCGUCUUUUCUCAAAGUUGAAGCAGAACCCACAACCUGAAUAAACAAAAAGGCAGCUUCUGUUAUAUAAGCAAAGCUAUAAGUGUACUGUACACAGUUCUGAAAAAAUUAAAAUAAGCGCUUCAAAUUUAUUACCCAAACAGAAGACCUUGCUCUGGUAACAUUCAUUCUCGGAGAAUCAGCAGAAAAUCCGAUGCCUUUAUCUUUGCUUCCCCUGACACAUGAAAAUACAACAACAUCUUUUUCUCUUCCCUGCAUUAGGAACAGGAUACAUUUAACAAAAUUUACAACUUUUAGAACGAGGAAAACAAGUAAUGCGCAAGAUGCAUCCGGUGAUUAUAAAUUCAAAUAAAAUCUCAAGGCGUAUAUAGAGCCAUAUUAAUCUCAACCAAUGAAUAGUAAAUUUUUUAUAAAAAGAAUAAAUUUGUUAGCAAAUCAAAUAACCAUAAAUCUUUUGCAGAGCCUCCUAUCAAUCAUCCUGUUGAUUAAAAUUAGUAAAAUUUAGGGGGCUCCAGCCCCCACCAUGUGGAAGCGGUAAUUGUUAGCUACUUUGUUGUAACUAGCCAUAUUUGCUAAUAUGAACGAUUCAAGUUGAUACUUGAAUGACUGGAGAAAAUAAUGAUACUUACUGGUAUAAAUAAAAUUACAUGUUAUUCAAGUAGCAAAGAGUUGGAGAGGAAGUAUGGCAGAAUUAGUAGCAGCAUCUCAACUAGAGAAGCCUGAAGUACAGAGAAAGGCAAGGCCCUCUCUUACGGAAAGUACUUCUCACGCAAGGCAAGAAGAGUAGGAUCCGGUUCUUGCACUUCAAGUAAGUCUAGUAACACAGAUGUUGUAGAUGCAUCUGCUGCAAAGCGGCGACCAAGCAUUUCAUCUAGUAGUACAUCUGCUUCAUAGUACUUAUUAUUCUGUAAACAACAGCGUAUAAGUGUGUUGUAUGUGACAUCAUUAGGCAAGCAAUAAUGAGCUUCCAUUUCCCUGAAUAGUUCAUUUGCUUCAUCCAAUAACCCUACAUGACAAUAUGCUUGGAUCAUCACAGUGUAUGUCUUGACAUUAGGUCGCAAACCUUUCGCAGGAAGGUUGUCAAAAAGGCUUCUUGCAUUCUCGAGAUGUCCAUUUUUGCUUAGUCCAUCAAUCAGAAUAGUGUAAACCUGUAUAUCAGCAACUAACCCACUGGACUCUAGUAUUUGAAAAAACGAUAGUGCUUCAAAUACAUAACAAUUCUGGCAAAGACCAUGCAACAAGAUACGACAUGUCACUUUAUCCAACUCAACACCUUGGUUAAUCAUCUUUUCCCUAAAAAAAUUACGUGCUUCAACAUGCCUGCCCACAUGAAAAAAACCUUGCAGUAUAGUACUGUAAGUCUGAAUAGUUGGGGUUAAACCUUCAGAGGGCAUUUGUUGAAAAAGAUCUAUGGCUCUGUCCACUUUCUUCUUUCUACAGUACCCGUUGAUGAGGAUAUUAUAGCUAAGAGCAUCAUGCAAUAUUCCCUUUCUAGUCAUGCUUUCGAACACUACUAAAGCUUUAUCAACCUCUCCCUGCAAGCAGUAUCCAUCCAUUAGUGAAUUGUAAGUGACUACAUCUGGAUAAUGGCCUCUUUGAAUCAUCAACUCUAUCACAUCCUCCGCAUCUUCAAUCAUUCCUUCUUUGCAAUACGCAUCAACCAAUAUGCUGUAAGUAAAAACAUCUCGAGAAAUGUUCCUAACAUCCAUCUCCUUGAGCAAUAAUUUGACAUCAUGCCAUCGAUUAAUGUCACACAGUCCUUGAAUUAACGAGCUGUAGGUUAUAACAUUUGGGGAUAUGCCUUUCCUUGUCAUUCGGUGGAGAAGACCCAAUGCUUGAUCGACUAACUUAUGUUUACAUAAACAGUCAAUAAUUGUGUUGUAAGUGACCGUAUUAGGCUUGCAACCUUUCUUCUCCAUAAUUUUGAACAACUUAACAGUCACAGAAGGAUUCCCUCUCUUGCAGAUGCCGUCAAUGAUAGUUGUAUAGGUAACAACAUCGGGUUGAAUAAGUUGAAAUCUGAUGAGGUUCUGGAACAAAAGCUGAGCCUCUUGAAGCAUAUCUUGGGAAAUAAGGCCCCUGAUGAGAGUGGUAUAAGUAAACACAUCACGGACAAAACCGUGCUUGAUGAUUCCAGCUAAUAGUUUUUGAAUUAUCUCAUUCAAAAACUUUUAGGGUCAAAGCUUCGUGUUCCCGAUUUAAUCAAUUAAUCCAUUACAACAUUGUGAAUUGAUUUGAUUUUGGAAAAUCGAUUAAUUUUUAUAAUUUUUUAAUAGAAAUAAAUAUAAUAAGUUUAUUGGAAUUAAAAUACUAUAUCAAUUCAAAUAUUAAUAAGUACAGAAUUUAUGAUAUAAUAAAGAUAUAUUUAUUACUAAAUAACCAAUGCCAUAUAACUAAAUAUUAAAAUACGUUCGAUUUUCAUUCCAAUUAAUCCCUCUGAUUAAUUCCCGAUUUUCGAUUAAUACUAAAUCGGUAGAUUAACUGGUUAGGUCUGAUUUCCGAUUUCUGUAACAGUGGUCAAGAGUUAUAUUUAUAUACUAGUUUAUGACUCGUGCAAUACCCGGGCAGUUAUAAUAUUUGUUAUUUUAUCGUAUAUAUUUUAAUUUAAACUAAUACUAUUAUGAGAAUAAAAUUAUGAUAGAAUAAUAUGAUUAAAUAAAUUUUUAUUUAACGGAUGAUAAAUUCUUAAUAGUUAAUUUCGUCAAAUUGCUAAUUAAAAAUGAGGUCGAAUAUAUAUAUUUUACUGAGAAUGUUACAUUACAUUUUUUUUUUCAUGUUAUAAUUUAAGGAGAUCUAUAAAAUCAUAUGUAAAUCAACCUAUCAAUCUUUUAAUAUUUCGUUAUUGAUAAUUAAUAAUAUAGUAUGGAACAUAUUAAGUUAAAAAAAUACGUAAACCAAAUACCGACCCAUCAUACUGACCUAAAUGUUUUGGUUUAUUAGAUAAUAAAAAAUAUAUUAUAACAUGUUAUAAAUUAAAGAGAUUCGUGACUAGAAUACCAACCGGCUCACAGAACUCUCGACUAACAUACCGACUAAGUGAACUUUUCCUAAUUCUGAUUUUCGAUUUGUGUAAUACUAAAUCUAUCAUUGGCUCAUUAUACAUACAUUUAUAGAGUAUAUAAAGGUUAUUAUUGAUAUUUUGUACUAAUGUAUUUAUUAUACAUUAAUGUCUAAUUGUUAAUAUACAUUAAUUAUUACAUGAUUUGGAAUUAAUUUAAUAUUAUACAUAUAAAUAACAUAUAUCUAAUCAUUUUUAAAAUUUUAACUUUUCCCCACAAAUUUUGUAAAUUUUAAUAUUUUUCCUGAUUUUUGAGUGAUUAAUCCAGUUUUGACCAAUUAAUCAUCGAUUUAACUGAAUUUUACUAAAUCAUAUUAAAACCCGUCUGAUUAUCGAUUAUUCGGUUAAUCGACCGAUUUUAAUUAUUAUGAUUUAAUAAAAUUAUAUAUGUGAUUUAAUAAAAUGAUAUAUAUAUAUAUAUAUAUAUAUAUAUAUAUAUAUAUAUCAUUUUUUUAACUAGUUGAACUAAAUUAAUAAGUAUAUACAAAUUUAUAUUAAUACAUAAUCUAAGUAUAGAUAAUAAUAAUAUCAAUAAUAUUAAUAAUAUAGUAAUAUNAAUGAUUUAAAAUACAAACAAAUAUAAAAUUUAAAUUAUACAAAUAAUCUCAACUUAAAGAGAAUGAACAAAAGAUAUAUAUAACAUACAUUAAAAAAAAUAGUAUAAAGCAAUCUGUGUUUUGCACAGGUUAAAAAGCUAAUUAGAAAUAGAUCAGUGAUUUCUCAUAACGGUUUCUCUGAAUAAAUAUAUAAUUUUUUUUAAUUAUAAUAUACAUGUAUCAAUAUAAUGAUAAUUUUAGGAGUGGCUAUGACUCCCUCUGAUCUCUGUUUAAACUUGUCUUAUAUAGGGAUAAACUAAAAACAAAAUCAUAGAAAUAAAUAUUCAUGUGAUAGUGCAAACAAUUAUCAAUAGUGUGGUGAGCAGGUCAUCAUUUAGCCGACUUUACUUGAGUUUUUUAUUUUGUUUGUAAGCACAAUUUUAUAUAUAAACAAUCUUCCAACAAGAAGAUGAUGAUUGGAAAUAAGUACAAGCAUUAGGAACUAAUAAGUCAAAGUUUGGGACCUAAAAUCAGCAUCAAAGCAGGAGCAUAUUAGUCGAUAUCCAACAAAGAGGAGAUCAGCAGCAAGCAUUCCAGCUUGGUGAGUUUCCUCCUGAGCACCCACCUCUUCCACACAAUUAUCCAUCUAAAACUGACCAUUCUGCAUGGCUAAACCAUUAUCCUGCAUGUUUUUCAGGAGCAUGAGCCAUGUUAACAGGGGCGUUAACUUGACCUAAACCCAAUCUAUGAAUUUGAUCAACUAGCCAAGGGUAGCAUAAAAAUUCACAGGAUCUUGGGCCUAGUCAAGAAGCACCACAUCCUUGAAAUCUGGAUGAUCGACCCCAAGACAUACGCUAUCACACAAGUCCAGCUCCUGUCUUUGAGCAAAAUAUCGAUUUGUGAGACUAGAUCAUAAACUGCAGCUGGAGCACCCAUUAGGAAGUCCCUCACAGUACGAAACGCCUCCCAGUUAUCAGUUUCCAGGAUAACAGAAGCAUAUCCUUUGAUUAUGGCACGACUCAGCGGGGCAUAAAUCGCCCAGAGUUGGUUCGCCAAUCGCGUUAGGAAGGGGAUAGCCCCCACCAUUACAUGCCUGAAAGAGUCGUUUGUAAGUAAAUGCUCGACUGAAGCUUGAGGAGAACCACUUGAGUUCAUCAUUGCUGUUGCUGAUACAGUUGACUUGCACGUGAAACUCAGCAUGCAUUGGCCAGUGAAGAUAUGGAAUUAAUGAGGGAGAUCCAUGCAAGUUAAUAUACUUUGAUAAUUCUAUAUGAAGAUCUUAAUAUCUUUUGCCUGAAUUAUUUGACUAUUCAGAUUCGAGAAAUGAAUACCAUGAUAAGAAUGGUUGAGCUUCCUUCUGAAGUUGAUCAGUGCAAUCAAAUUUGAAUUAAAGCCAGGCUGACAGCAGUUUCUCUUUGAUCCUUCUCACGAUAUGAUCCACCUUAAAUAACCUUGCAUGCAUUGGCUGAUGAAAAUUGUACAAAGAUAACCUAUUCUCAGAAUGGCUCCAGGUCAGCAACUUAUUCAUCGUAGCAGCUCUUAAAACACUAGUUGCUUCCACACGUUUGCCUGUAAGAAAAUAACAUUGCAAUAUAGUACUGUAACUCUCACUAGUUGCUUUUAUACCUCCAAAAAUGCUGGCAAACUCGAGAAGAUUAUGUACCUCAGAACUCUCUCCUUCGUUACACCUACGGCAAGUACUUCUUGCACAAAGCAAGCAGAGCAUGAUCCUGUUCUUGCACAUCAAGUAAAUCCACUAAAACAGAUGCAGUAGAUGCAUCUGCUGCAAAGCCGUGACCAAGCAUUUCAUCUAAGAGUACACCUGCUUCACAGUAAUUCUUAUUCUGUAAACAACCGCGGAUAAGCAUGUUGUAUGUGACAUCAUCAGGCAAGCAAUCAUUUCCUACCAUUUCCCUGAAUAGUUCAUUUGCUUCAUCCAAUAACCCUUCAUGACAAUAUGCUUGGAUCAUCAUUGUGUAUGUUUUGACAUCAGGCCGCAAACCUUUCAAAGGAAGGUUGUCAAAAAGGCUUCUUGCAUUCUCUAGAUGUCCAUUUUUGCUUAGUCCAUCCAUCAGAAUAGUGUAAACAUGUAU